UGACGCUCAGGUGCGAAAGCGUGGGGAGCNAACAGGAUUAGAUACCCUNGUAGUCCACGCUGUAAACGAUGUCGACUUGGAGGUUGUGCCCNUGAGGCGUGGCUUCCGGAGCUAACGCGUUAAGUCGNCCGCCUGGGGAGUACGGCCGCAAGGUUAAAACUCAAAUGAAUUGACGGGGGCCCGCACAAGCGGUGGAGCAUGUGGUUUAAUUCGAUGCAACGCGAAGAACCUUACCUACUCUUGACAUCCACGGAAUUCGCCAGAGAUGGCUUAGUGCCUUCGGGAACCGUGAGACAGGUGCUGCAUGGCUGUCGUCAGCUCGUGUUGUGAAAUGUUGGGUUAAGUCCCGCAACGAGCGCAACCCUUAUCCUUUGUUGCCAGCACGUAAUGGUGGGAACUCAAAGGAGACUGCCGGUGAUAAACCGGAGGAAGGUGGGGAUGACGUCAAGUCAUCAUGGCCCUUACGAGUAGGGCUACACACGUGCUACAAUGGCAUAUACAAAGAGAAGCGAACUCGCGAGAGCAAGCGGACCUCAUAAAGUAUGUCGUAGUCCGGAUUGGAGUCUGCAACUCGACUCCAUGAAGUCGGAAUCGCUAGUAAUCGUAGAUCAGAAUGCUACGGUGAAUACGUUCCCGGGCCUUGUACACACCGCCCGUCACACCAUGGGAGUGGGUUGCAAAAGAAGUAGGUAGCUUAACCUUCGGGAGGGCGCUUACCACUUUGUGAUUCAUGACNGGGGNGAA
rnacentral:rRNA from 1 species